GACAGAGGGUGCAAACGUUUGUUCGGAUUUACUGGGCGUAAAGCGCGUGUAGGCGGCUUUGCAAGUCGGAUGUGAAAGCCCACGGCUCAACCGUGGAAGUGCAUCCGAAAACUGCAUGGCUUGAGUCUCGGAGAGGGAAGGUGGAAUGCUUGGUGUAGAGGUGAAAUUCGUAGAUAUCAAGCAGAACACCUGCGGCGAAGGCGGCCUUCUGGACGAUGACUGACUGAGAC
rnacentral:rRNA from 1 species